UAUUAAAAAUUUCAUCUACUUUUACUGUUAAAAUUAAAGUUACUAUCAGAAUAACUUAACAAUUAUAUAUGGCAUGCCACAUGUACCUAAAAGAACUAAUUUUUAUUAGUAGAAAUGGAUGAAAUUUUUGACA
rfam:Gossypium hirsutum cultivar TM-1 unplaced genomic scaffold scaffold4286.1, whole genome shotgun sequence